rnacentral:tRNA from 1 species
CGGAUUGUGGCGCAGCUUGGUAGCGCACCUCGUUCGGGACGAGGGGGUCGUCAGUUCAAAUCUGACCAGUCCGACCA